UACGUAGGGGGCGAGCGUUGUCCGGAAUCAUUGGGCGUAAAGAGCGUGUAGGCGGCUUGUUAAGUCUUGCGUGAAAUCUCGGGGCUCAACCCCGAGCGGUCGUGAGAAACUGGCAGGCUAGAGUGCGGGAGAGGAGAGUGGAAUUCCUGGUGUAGCGGUGAAAUGCGCAGAUAUCAGGAAGAACACCCGUGGCGAAGGCGGCUCUCUGGAACGCAACUGACGCUGAGACGCGAAAGCGUGGGGAGCAAACAGG
rnacentral:rRNA from 1 species